GCGGGGUGAAUGAGUCACCAGCCCGCGCGGGCCAGGUUCGCCCCAACUACGGACCAGCCCUGGGGUGCGUUCCGCACCUGCGUGGACUUGGCCCGGCGUCUGGACCGCGACGACGUGGAGUCGGGGAUGCGCGCCCUGCCAGCCCCGAGCGCGCCCCGGGACCCUGAGCGCCUGAGCGCCGUGGAGCGGUUGGCGGCCGACCGCGCUCACUUCUGUCGCCGCCCGGCGGGCGUCGGAGACCCUGCGUCCAGAGGCCGCGGCGCAGGGCACGACGGAGACCCCUCCUCGGAGCCCCGCAGCACGGGCCCCGCCGCGCAGGUGCCCCGCAGGGCGACGAUCCCUCGUCGGCAGCCGAGGCCCGACUCGCUGGUCAUCUACAGGCAGAAGUGCGACUUUGCCCGUAGCCUGGGCUCCGAGGGCCCCCGCGGCAGCCUGGUGAAGAAGCUCCUCCCGGGCCCCGGCCGGGACCGGACCAAGCCCGCGCUCCCCGCCACCUCGCGGCCGGAACGCGUCGCGCGAACCGAGCCAGCCUCGGGGACCUCCGAAACCCCCGACGGCUCCGAGCCCGCCGCGGCCGCCGCGAGCCUCGGGAGCCCCAGGAGCCCGAGAGUCCCCGUGGCGGCGACCUCGUCCGCGCCCCCCGGGACCCGAGCGCGGACCUCGUCCCCGCGGACGGUGCGGCGCGCCGGGCUGCAGCGCUCGCACUCAGACCUUAGCCGGCGCAGCUGCGACCCCGGCGCCGAGUUCGACGCCUUCUUCCGCUUCUGUGGCCUGGACCCCGAGGUUGUGGAGGCACUGGGCAGGGAAAACUUCUCGGCGGGCUCCGACUCCGCCGCGCUCAAAGUGCGCAGCGUCAGUGUGGCCACCUCAGAAGGCGGCUUCUCGCGGCCCAGCGGCGGGGAGGACGACGGGCUGCAGGAGGAGGCGCUCACAGAGCAGGUGCCCAGCACCACCUCGGUGAUCGAGAGGAACGCGCGCAUCAUCAAGUGGCUGUACACCUGCAGGAAGGCGGCGGAGACCCCGGACCAGGGGCUACAAGGACCUGCGUGACUGCCCUUGCCGCGGACCAGGAAUCAAGGUGCUCGUGGAAGAGCUGGCGGCGCGGGCUGCGCGUGCGCAUGGGCCAGAGACUUACUCCCCAAGACUCACACAGCAGGGUGCGCACUCUGAAACUGUUGUAUUCCUAGAGGACCAAGAGGAGGGAAUAGGUGUCUGGUGUCCCAGAGCUCAUGGUGUCCACGCAGGACUCAUAGCCUCAAAUGCUUCUUUCCUCUAUGGAGAUCUAGUGGGGACCCGGACCCCAGGCCACAGACAGACAUAACUCACACCUGCUUUCCUGGACCGAAUCUGAGCCCUCAGGACAUGGGAAGCAAGAACUCAUGCUCUGCCCUUUCUGUGGUUUACCAUUUGUGUUGGAUUCCUUAAAGAUUCAUUGUAGGAUCUUAUGAAAAAUUAAAAAACUUGGAGAUGAAUAAAAGUAAACUUCGUAAGUAAAAGAAUUCAUAUGUAUUCUAUAUGGAGGUUUGGCUUACUAGACAGAUUAGUAAAUUACUCCACCCAGAACUAAUUACACGUUUCUAAGUUUGUUGCCCUUUGAGGUAAAAAUGUUUGUCAUAAGUGAAAAUAUCAGAACCGCAGGGUAUCUCUAGGCAUCCUCGGACCAUGUGUAUGGUAUGGUUACACAGGGGAUUUGUGUAUUCUUUCUCAUCAUUUAACUCAGAAAAAUCGCUCCUCCAUUCGCUGGUUAUUAGUCAUCUUCCUGUUCUUUAAUUCAUCAAACUGAAUACUUGCCAAAAGAUAGGUCUUUCUGGAUUUCACAUAGACUGUAUAAAUCACUGCUUUUAAUAUUGGUACAAAAGACUAAUGAUUUGUCUUGUGGGAGAAUUAGGAAGAAACAUUGUUUAAGAGCAAAAAAUUCAGCUCUUUACAGCCAUCUCCACAUUUCCCUGUGGUGAAGACAGGGGUUAGUGUAGAACAAAUGGAACAGGCUACAUCUCAUACGUGAAAGGUGCCAUCACCUCGGGACAUUGGGUAGGGACACCCAGGCAGCACUGGACACGUGGACGGGGUGCCCUGCUCAAAGGCUGCUUCUCUGCUCCUGUGUCCUCCUGCAGGCACUCUGAGGAAGACAGCCAGGGUGGACACCUGAGUAGCUGACAGCUGGCUCCUGUCUUUGGGCCAGUGCCGGGGCCUUUUGGAGACACUGGUGUUUGAAAAGGGUGGAAUCUGUUUGCUUACAAAUAUUUAACUGGGCUUCCUCCCUUGAUUUCUGUUGUGUUGUUCAGGCCCUUGGCAGUCAGUACUGGCCUUGUCUAUGUUCAAAGGAGCAGGGAGGGAGAAGCAAAGACAAAUUUCAGAAUCCAAAGAACGCCUGUGGGAGACUUGCUGUGUCAGAGAAGCUGGAGGGUGGCGUCCUUCAAUAAAACUCAGCAUUUCUAAAACCAAAGGAGGUAUUUUAAAACGCAGAGAUGUCACAAAACCAAAGACUCUAAGGCUGAGGUUGGUACAAUAAUGUUUUGUAGCAG